AAUAGGAAGUACCUUGGACAGAGCAACUGCUAGCAGGGACUGAGGGAGCUGCUAACUCUAGCUGGCUCAAGGCCCUGAGAAGAGGGUGAAGAAAGUGCUGGGAACAUGGGGAAGUGGCUCAGGGGACAGAAGCAGCAUGGAGUGAAGUUAAAGAGAUGCAGCAGGAGGCUGUUAUCCACAGGGUCUCUGAGCUGGGACCUGGAGUGGCAGGGGCCUGGGUCUGCAGAUGGAGAAGACAGCAGGAGAGGCACCACAAGGAGAGGGUGCACUGGCUGGCAGAGCUAAUCCCUAUAAUGGCCAGCUGGUGAUGUUGCUGGGGAAAAAAUAGAGGAACACCAGGUCCAAGAGGACAGGAAAAGGCUACAGUUUAACUUCCCAAUGCUACUUAAUAGCACAAACUUUUAAAUACAUAAAUCCUUAAACUGCAGAGAAGAUCAUUUGAAAGGCAAGACUGCAGCAGCCAGCUAUUGCAGAGAAAAUGGGCUACAUCAAACAAAAAAGGGAAAUGAGGAACUUGUUUAGGAAUAGAAUUAAGCUAAAGCAUGGAAUUUUCAUGAAAUAUGAAUCAUUCUAUGGGUGGGCUGGUGCCUGGAGGAUACUGGAGCACAGACAAGGAGGGAGAGAACAUCUGAGGAUUUGAAAAGAAAAGUCAAACAGUAGAGGCAGCAUGAAUGAACAGGAGGAUUAAUACUUCAGAAGUCCUCUUUAAAAUCAUGUUGUUACAGUGCUUGAGGCAUUAAAUUUGCCAGGCUGACUACUGUGGGAAAUCAGUUUGGCUUAAGCACUGUGCAACCAUGGAGAAUUCACAGAAGUUUUCAACCAGGCUAAUACAUUAUGCAUCCGAGUUGGACAGAAGAAAACGUAAAUCUUAAACAUAAUUUAUGGAGCGGGAGAGAAGUGUGGAGUUUAAAAAUGCAGUAUGAAGGGGAUGCCAAUGAGAAGGAAUCGUGUGAAGAGGAACAGGCAAGGAUGAGGGAAAUGUUACAAGGAGGCACUUAAAGAAAUGUUAGCUCUGGGAGAUGAACUUAUUUUACUAAUGGGGAAAAUGAGGCAUUGCCCAUUAUCACAUGGGGGGCCAGUAACAAUAGGAACAACUGGUCUCAUAACUAGCAUUUCUCAUUGCUGUCAAUAAAUGGUGAUGCAUACACACACUACUUACUGAAAGGAAAAGCAAAAUUCAUGUACAAAGGUAUGAUGCUCAUGUGUGGCAUAUACCUUCAGCUAAUCUUUAGUAUCUUCUCCUCUGCCACCCCCAAACCAGCAGAGCUCUACUGGGCAGCAGUGUCCUUCCUGGAUCUCUAGAGGAACUAUCUUCCCUCCUGUUCCAAGCUGGGAAUACGGAAGGGAGGUCAGGGAUUCAAAUUCAGUGUGAACUAACUUAUGGAAAGUUACCUUUUAUAGCACAAACGGGCAGGGGCAGGGAUUGAUGUGUUCAGUAGAAUCCAGCAACAUGUAGCCGUAGAAGAGACCACCAGCCCUUGCUUUCAGUCAAAACUGGUUCUUGGUUGUGAAAUAAAGGGGCUUUAAUUUGAUCAUCCUGUAUUACCUAACACAUGGUUUGAAGAAACAGAAGUCCAGUGAACAAGACAACUUCAUUUUCUAAGGCUAUUCUUUUUCUCCUCUGCAGGUGGCUCUUCACAUUGUAUGUUUUACUUUGUCUCUGCUCUGCAGUAAUUCUUGGCAAAACUAUUCCUGAGAGUUUGGUAAUUGAAGCAGAAUACAUCUUCUUUUUAAAGAACAAACUAAUUCCACCCUCUCCCCCAAAACACACCUAAAACCAAAGCCCAAAACAAAUGCUGCACAGGGAAUUUCAUGUAUUCUAAAAGGAAGCCUAAGCAAGGCAGUAAAUUAAUGAUCACAUUAACCCAUCUGUAAUGCUGGUUUUGGAGACCUAGAUUCUGUUGCUCAUCUGGCAGAGCUAGAAAAGUGUCAUUAAUCCACAUGAAUGUUUCCUAUCUAAACAAAUCUUACUAUGAGCAGAGCUGCACUUUCUGACUUCAGGGAGCUCUGUUCUGAAUGCACCACUAGCAAAACCAUGGUCAAUAAGGUAUACCUCUCAGUAAAUUCUGUAAAAGGCACAGCCUUAGAGAACAAAUGUGUUGCUGACUAUUUUCCCCCCCUCCCCGCAUCUGUAUAAAAAGAUGGAAGGGGUGGCAGGGAAAGGAGGGUGAAUUAAAAAUAUUGUUUAGCUACAAAAUUAAGCAAUGAAAAAGUGGUAAGAAACACAAAUCUCCAAAAGCACUGAGGUCAGGACUCUUAAAGGUAUUUAGGUGCUCAACUCCCAUUGAGGAUCUGGGUUUGAGUUCAGCCAGGAAGCAGGAUUUCAAAAUUGUUGGUAGAUAAGGAUUAAAUUGUCACCCCUGUAUGCGCCACUGGUGAACGUUCUAACGUUCAGCAUUGAAACUCCGACUGGAAACGCCUUCCCUCUGCAGGAGUUUACAGGGAGUGCCCACUCACUUGGUUACUGGCCGUGUACACGGGUGCUAUGGAAGCAACCAUCAGAGCUGCUGUUUGACACUCCUGUGGAGACAAUUACUACUUUCCUUUAUAGGCUCUGCUUCUACAGUGAACUUGGUGCAGGUAGACAGGCUUGCCCUUGGCGGGAGGGGGGGCUUAAUUGAAAUUGUAAUAGUCAAUAAGGCUCUGCAUGGGUGCAGGGAUUUGCUCAAAGCAAGUUUGGGCCUUGGUUUAUCCCUUUGCCUUCAGUAAAAAGGCAAGAGAUCCAGAAUGCGCCAUGUGCAACACAUGAAAACAUGAUCCUUUCCCUGAAGAGCACACAUUACAUGUGAAUGUGGAGAGGGUGAUAGUGGACCAGCUCAGGAAGGUGUUCAGUAUGCAGGGAGCAUCAUGACAAGAUGUGGAGACGCUUCUUGGAAAAGUGGACAAUAAAUGUGGUUCCUUCACUUUCUGAAUGCAAUCUAUAUAGAGACCCAACCCAUCACAGGCUAACUGUUUCCAGCAUGAUUUUUAUCUAGGUCAAACACGCUGAAGUUGAGUAAGUCACAAAUUUUAAAUUUUAUCAGAUGGUCAUCUGUUAAUUCAUAGAAUUCUCCAAACUUGAUCCAGUGUGUAUAUGCAUCUGUGCUGCAUUGUUACAAUUGAUAAAAACAAACUUGACAUAUUUAGGUCAUGCAAGAGCACCUAAAAAUUAGACAGUUGUGUCUUUAUGAAUACUUGUUUUUGUGA